GGGAAGAAACAAGAACUAAAACAAUACCCGGUAACUAAUCCUACAAAACUACACAGAAAAGUUAUGGGUUUUGUCUCAGGAGCACACGAAAAAGAAAAUAAUAAUAAGAGAAAUGAGAUUAUUUGCAGCAGAUUAUAGAGAGAGAGAGAGG